UACGUAGGGGGCAAGCGUUAUCCGGAUUUACUGGGUGUAAAGGGAGCGUAGGCGGCAAGGUAAGCCAGAAGUGAAAGCCCGCGGCUCAACUGCGGGACUGCUUUUGGAACUAUCUAGCUAGAUUGCAGGAGAGGGCGGUGGAACUCCAUGUGUAGCGGUAAAAUGCGUAGAUAUAUGGAAGAACACCAGUGGCGAAGGCGGCCGCCUGGCCUGUUGCUGACGCUGAGGCACGAAAGCGUGGGGAGCAAAUAGG
rnacentral:rRNA from 1 species